rnacentral:rRNA from 1 species
ACGAAGAGUUUGAUCCUGGCUCAGGAUGAACGCUAGCGGCGAACUUAACACAUGCAAGUCGAGGGGCAGCAAGAAAUAAGGUUACUUAUUUCGUUGGCGACCGGCAAACGGGUGAGUAAAACAUAUGUAACCUACAUCAUGCAGAGGAAUAGUUCAAGGAAACUUGAAGUAAUACCUCGUAAUACAAGGUUUGAAUAAUAAAACUUGUUAAAGUAUUAACGGCAUGAAAUGGGCAUAUGUCUGAUUAGCUAGUUGGUGAGGUAAAGGCUCACCAAGGCAAUGAUCAGUAGGGGGCCUGAGAGGGUGUACCCCCACAUUGGUACUGAGACACGGACCAAACUUCUACGGGAGGCAGCAGUGAGGAAUAUUGGUCAAUGGAGGGAACUCUGAACCAGUUACGUCGCGUGCAGGAAGAAGGCCAGAAAGGUUGUAAACUGCUUUUGUAUAUGAAUAAAAAAUUCUACUUGGUAGAAAUAAUUGAAGGUAAUAUACGAAUAAGUAUCGGCAAACUUCGUGCCAGCAGCCGCGGUAAGACGAAGGAUACAAGCGUUAUCCGGAAUUAUUGGGUUUAAAGGGUGCGUAGGUUGUUUUUUAAGUCAGUAGUGAAAUAUGACAGCUUAACUGUCAAACGGCUACUGAUACUGUCAAACUAGAGUUAGGUAGGAGUAACUGGAACGUGUGGUGUAGCGGUGAAAUGCAUAGAUAUCACACAGAACACCGAUAGCGAAGGCAGGUUACUAGACCUCAACUGACACUGAUGCACGAAGGCGUGGGUAGCAAACAGGAUUAGAUACCCUGGUAGUCCACGCAGUAAACUAUGAUCACUAACUGUUGGAUAUAAAAUAGAAAUAAAAUAUUCAGUGGUUAAGCUAAAGUGAUAAGUGAUCCACCUGAGAAGUACGAUCGCAAGAUUGAAACUCAAAGGAAUUGACGGGGGCCCGCACAAUCGGUGGAGCACGUGGUUUAAUUCGAUGAUACGCGAAGAACCUUACCAAGACUUAAAUGUACUACGAAUAAACUAGAAAUAGUUUAGUCUUAGGACGGAGUACAAGGUGCUGCAUGGUUGUCGUCAGCUCGUGCCGUGAGGUGUAAGGUUAAGUCCUUUAACGAGCGCAACCCCCAUUAUUAGUUGCCAGCGGUUUGGCCGGGAACUCUAAUAAAACUGCCAGCGCAAGCUGAGAGGAAGGCGGGGAUGACGUCAAAUCAUCACGGCCCUGACGUCUUGGGCCACACACGUGCUACAAUGGUCGAAACAAAGAGUAGCAAAUGGGUAACCAUAAGCAAAUCUCAAAAAACCGAUCUCAGUUCGGAUUGGAGUCUGCAACUCGACUCUAUGAAGCUGGAAUCGCUAGUAAUCGCACAUCAGCCAUGGUGCGGUGAAUACGUUCCCGGGCCUUGUACACACCGCCCGUCAAGCCAUGGAAGUUGGAAGUACCUGAAGUCAGUAACGUAAAAGAAUCUGCCAAGGGUAAAAUCAAUGACUGGGGCUAAGUCGUAACAAGGUAGCCGUACCGGAAGGUGCGGCUGGAACAUUUCCAU